AGAAUCAACGCUGGCGGCGUGCCUAACACAUGCAAGUCGAACGAGAAAGUGGAGCAAUCCAUGAGUAAAGUGGCGCACGGGUGAGUAACACGUGACUAACCUACCCUUGAGUGGGGGAUAACCUCGGGAAACCGGGGCUAAUACCGCAUAAUAUCGAGAGAUCAAAGGAGCAAUUCGCUUAAGGAGGGGGUCGCGGCUGAUUAGCUAGUUGGUAGGGUAAUGGCCUACCAAGGCUAUGAUCAGUAUCCGGCCUGAGAGGGCGCACGGACACACUGGAACUGAAACACGGUCCAGACUCCUACGGGAGGCAGCAGUGGGGAAUUUUGCGCAAUGGGGGAAACCCUGACGCAGCAACGCCGCGUGGAGGAUGAAGUCCCUUGGGACGUAAACUCCUUUCGAUCGGGACGAUAAUGACGGUACCGGAAGAAGAAGCCCGGCUAACUUCGUGCCAGCAGCCGC
rnacentral:rRNA from 1 species